rnacentral:lncRNA from 1 species
AUUUUAACUCACAGCAUCAAGGCUUGCUGGAACUCAGGUUUCGACUGCUAGGAUGGCUGAUUCUCCUCUGGCUAAGGCUAGUCUAGAUGCUCCCUCCAUGGGCACUGGCUGAGUUCUGCCUGGUGUUGCUUUCUGCUGUGACAGGGCAGCACUGGGUGCCUCUUUCAGUUAUACGAAGUUCAACCCAGCUACAGAGCAGCAUCUGAAGAGCCACGGGGCCCCCACCUUCAUCCCUGAGAAUUUUAGGAGCCAGCCUGCCUUUCCAGGUGACACUGGACACUUUCAUCUGAGAACCCUGUCACAUGACAGUUGUUUCCUUUCUUCCUCCUCUCCUGGGAAUGCUGCUGCUUCGAUGACCCAAGAGCCUAAGAAGGGUAGCUGUUUCUCAAUACACUGAGAGAGAGUUCUUUCUCCGUCCUGACCAUCUUGGGACCCGAUGGCAAGACUGGAAGGAUUUAUAUCUCCUUUUGUACAGAAAACUGCCUCCCCAUGUUGGUUUGUGAAGUGAAAUGCAUAUAAAACAGAGGAUUCCAGACUCUCAGAAGUCAAUACAUAAAUAAAUAAAAAUAAAACUGAGAAGAUACCUCAAAAUGGUCAGACUCAUUAGCAUCAUCCAGGUGUAUUUUCUCUUCAAACAGUGUCAGUGGGUCUCUAAUAAAGAGAUGAGCAACAUGCUGGGCCAGGAGAUGAUCAAUGCCUGCAAAAAGAGAUCACAUGGGAACUCACUGCAAAGCGAGAGAUACCACUUCCUCUUAGUCCAGAAAGACGACAGGAUAGCUCAGGAAGUUUGAAGAAAGGGUGUCUAGAAGCUUGAAAUAGCUGGUUUGAUUAGUAUCCUCACCUCACCCAGUAUUUUAUCCUGCGGACACUGCGGGAGUGUCAGCGUUUUAUUCACUACUUACACAAUGCCUGCUGGGGCACUGGUGUGGACCUAGACACAGACCUCCAAAGUAAGCUCCUUUUGCUAAAAAUCAAGAAAAUCUCACAAGUAUUUGGAACCUGAAACUUUAGGAACAAGUAGCCUCAUGAGAGAAGUUAAAGACUUUGCACUAAAAAUAGAAACCAGACCAGGAGUCAGCAAAAAAGUGUAAAAGAGCUUUGAAGAACUAAAGGCGUACAUUCAAACCCAGAAAGAUGGAGUAGAAACCCACCUUCCUGCAACAGCUGUUCGUAGAUCUCUUUAUCUAUCGUCAA